rnacentral:lncRNA from 1 species
ACCACAGUGAACCCUGCAAAACAGAGGAGCCCCUGGGUGGGAGGGGAUAUAACUGGAACUCUGGGAAUGUAACGGGCAUGGUGUGCUUGUCUGAUGGACAGGGCAGCUUAGGGGAAUAAGUCUCUGCAGCGUUGUAGUGAAGAGAGAAUACGGGACAACUGCAGGACCACAGCUCAGCCAAGAGCUCCCUUGCAGCUGAGUUGGCCAUAUGACUGACAGCAAGCCCUGGAAUGCAGCCAGAAGUGAUAGAAGCCUCUUUCACACCAUGCUCCUAAAAUAUUCCAAGAAAUUUUCCAAACCUACUCUUUUUAGUCUGUGCAUCUGGAAGUGAAAGUUUUAGAAAGGGUAAAGUCACUUAAUGGAAAGGGCCCAGAUCUAGCCCCUCGGAGCCAAGCUGUCCAACUAGAAAUUCUGCAUUAGUAUUUGCGACCCCAGUAAAAAAAAAAAAGUCCCACAAAGAUGUAGGAUCUCACUUUGCCUGCGUUAAUUCCCUGUCCUUUGCCCAGUUUCUCCUCUCUUGGAAGGCAGAGGCAGCUUCUGAUUUUGAUCACUUCAUGUCCAGCAGAUCUUUGGAGAGAAAAUGCCAAGAGUGGAUGGAGAGGCAAUGGUGAAGCUGAGGCUGAAGUCGGAGGAAGCUGUGAACCCUGCAUGGGGUACCUGAACACCAGGGCAAGUUUCUGGCCCAGAAUGGCUUCUGGGAAAGGGGAUAUGACAUCUUAGGAAGAAGGGACUGGGGGAAAGAAAGCACUUUCUGCUUCUGUGGAUAUAAACACACAGUGUUUUAUUCCCUAGUGCAACAAAACCUCAAGAUCAACAGACAAGAGCUGAAAACCCUUUCCCACCAGACACAGUGCCAUCUAAAUGUUCUCUCAAAAGAUAGCAUCUCAUAAACAAUUUCAACAAAAGGAUGUCAGCUUUUACUUUAUGUGCAUGCACAAAAUCACUUUUCAGGAAAAAAAAUGACCAUUACCGAAUCCAUCAUAAAAUUAAUUACAUUUAGUUGAUCACGUUGGCUGACUGGUUAUAACUCUUGCUGUAUUUUCCAGAAGUGUGUUUCAUUUUAUUUAUCAUUAAAGGAAAAAAUAUUGUAGUUUUCCAAUAUACUGUCUAUUGGUGGUUCUCAAACUCCAGUGUAUGCCACAAUUGCCAAAGAAAUUUAACUAAAUGCAGAUUCCUUGGCACUGUCCCUCAAAAUUCCUAUUUACUUUUUCUGGUAUAAGGUACAGAUAAUUCUGAUUUACUUAAGCUAUGGUUUUAGAAACACUACACUCUAAUUCUAAUUAUUCAUGUUAGUUCUCAUGAAAAUAUUCACAUUAAUUCUAAUGAAAUAUAAUGUGACAAUACUAUAUGUAAGAAUUUCCUCCCUGACUUCAUUUUGAUAUGAAUAGGAGGCAGGGAAAUACUGGGUAGAAGGGGGC